UACAGAGGUCCCAAGCGUUGUCCGGAUUCACUGGGCGUAAAGGGCGCGUAGGCGGUCGGGAAAGUCGGAUGUGAAAUCUCACAGCUUAACUGUGAAACUGCAUUGGAUACUAUCCGGCUCGAGGAAUGGAGGGGAGACUGGAAUACUUGGUGUAGCAGUGAAAUGCGUAGAUAUCAAGUGGAACACCAGUGGCGAAGGCGAGUCUCUGGACAUUUCCUGACGCUGAGGCACGAAAGCCAGGGGAGCAAACGGG
rnacentral:rRNA from 1 species